CUAAAGACCUCUAAGUUUAAGUAGCUCUCUUAGCAGAACGAGAGCCAUAAUGGAUCAGGAAAUUCCAUCAAUGCACCCUGUCUCUCUUUAGUAGGGAGCCGAGGCACCCUUCUAUGACUCAGUCUUGUCACGUUACAGUAUGAGGAACUGCGCAAAAGCAGAUUGAAGCAAAGGAAACUGUGUCGGUAGUAAAUUCUAGCUAUCCUACAUGAAUGUAUUUAUUUCCAAGUAACUCCUGUGGGUAACAAAACGUUGGCUUCCACAUCAAGAAUAAAAUUGUCAAAGUAGAGGCUUGAAAGCAACUUACAAUGAGGUAGAUGUAAAGACCUGUGAUAUUAAAGCGUAUUAAAGGUGAUAAGGAACUUUACCAUCGAAGAAAUCUUCAGUCAUGGCGACUAUGACCAUGGAGCAGAGACGUUUCCCUCGCUGUAUAAGAAAAUCUGCCAUUAAAGUUUUUCAAGAACAAGAAAAGCUACAGUUUCAUCUGCAUUUUUCAUCAACUUGGUUCUCAAGAAACCUUCAAUGAUCAGACACAAUGAUAUGCUCCUUUGGCGUGGUAGCGAGUGGAGAUAAUCUAUGAACUGCUGAAAGACUACUUUGUCCUCAAAAAGUGGAUUUUUCCACCUACCUACGCGAAAGUCGUAGAAUGUCCACUCAAUUAGGGUUCAGACUGAAAAAGAAAUUAAUUAAUUAAUUUAAACUGACUCAAAAACACUUCCGGAUUGAACAGCUUCGAUUAACUUCCCACCGUUCCGACAAUGAACAGCAGUGGCUA